ensembl:lncRNA
GGCGGGGCCUGGCUGUGGCGGCGACGCCGGUGGGUAGCUGGGUUUAGAGCAGGGGGACUACGGGUCGGCGUUGGGCUCAGUGGGGUCGGACGAAGGACAGGCCGGACGGGAAUCUUCGCGGCGCCUGUUGACGGCUAGCUGAGCGGCCAGUCGAGGCUUCUCGGUCGCCCAGUGCCCCCGCCGCGCGGUCUCAGGCGGCUUUUCGGUUCACCGCAGCCAGCGCCACGGUGGGGGCCCGGCCCAGCGGCACCUGCUGCCGAGCACCGCCCCCGCCAGGUGCUCAUGAUGGGGCUCAUCUUCCCUGAGCUAUGGAGCCACUUCUGUAACCAAGGAUCUGUUCUUUGAAGACUGUUUAGAAGAAAAGGUUAAAUGAUCCACUACCAGUGUGCCACCUUUGUGUACGAAAGGAGACACCAGAAGAGCAAAGUAUCAUCACAUACUGCGGUAAAGAGAUUUUGCUGUCAAGGUUGAUAUGAUGUCACUUCCUUCAAAGUCCAAGAACAAGCCUUGUUUGGUCUCUGUCUCAUUCCGCUGCAGGGUGCGUCAAGAAUUCGGUCAAAGGAUUCUGGUUUCCAUUUACAUUCACUUGAAUAAUUUCCUCACUCCAACUUCUGAUCUAUUUAAUGUUCCUGGACAAAUUCACGAAACCAAAUGGUCUGCUUAAAUAUUUAUGCUAUCUAACUGCAAGCAAGAUAUUGCUGCUGACUGCUUUUGUACAAAGCUAGUUGAUUUCCUGCAGUACCCACAGCAGUGUUCUGAGUCUCACCCCAAGAUAACCUCCUGCUUUUCUCUGAUUGCAAAACUGUUAGACACAAGUUCUUAUCAAUUUCAUUCAUCUCCCAUCCUUUCUUGCUUACCUACUGUCUCAGAAGAAAUAUCUUUUCAAAGUAAGCAAUUAUUUUUAACGUUUUUGAUUCAUACUGAUAAAGUUCUCUAGAAGACUAUACCAGUUUACACUCCAUUGUCCUGAGUAUGCUUGUGUUUGCAAAAGCCUCAUCAAAGUUGAUAAUUAUUUUACUGCCCAUUUGUAUUUUUUCUUUAUAUGGUUCCAUUCUUUGUCUUUGUCUUUUUCUUAUUGAUUAGAAGAGCUCUUUGUAUAUGAAGGAUAUUAAUCUCUCCUCUGUUACUAUUUUAUAAAUGUUUCCCACAAUUUUCCAUCUGCCUAAGUUUUUGUUUUUACAAACAUAAAUGUUAAGUAUUAAAUCUUUUUCCUUGUUGAGUUCUACCUUUGCUUUUGUGCUGUAAAAUCUUCAUCAUUAUGAAAUCAAAUAAAUGUUCAUCUAUAUUUGCUUCUGGUUAUUUUCACUGUUCAAUUCUUGACAGUAAAACUUAAUCCAUCUGAAGUUACUUUUGUGUACUGUCCUUUUUUCUCACCCUCCAAAAUAUGUAAUCUCAGAGCUAUUUAUUGACUAAUUUACUCUUGCCUCUGGAUUUGAAAUGCUUCUUUAUUGUGUACUAAAUUGCUGUAUACAUUUGGACCUGUUUCAAAAGCUUCUCUUCUGCUCCACUUUAGCUUAAGUUAUUAAGCUAUAUUUUCCGAGUGCCAAAUCUACCCUUCUCUCCUCUGCUGUGUGGUGCUGGGGUGAGAACUUCUGAACUACAAUUCUACUUUGCCUGCUGACUCCUUUCAAGAUUCACCGGCAGGAGGCAGAGGAGUGUUGGGGAGUGGGGAAAAGAUGUUAGAUAAGAGGAGUAGAGAACGGACUUCGUCUUUCCUGUUUCCUUGCUAUUUCUGUCAAAAGCAUCCUAGCAGUAGUCCUUUAUCUUGGCAGCUGCAGUUUCCAGCUUUUUCCCUUAAGUAUCAACAUGGAGUGCACAAAGCCCCCACCCUCAGAGGUCUGUGUCCCAGCUGCAUGCGGCUGCCUGCUUGUUGAGGAAUGAGUAGCCGGUAGGGAGCACCCCCAUCCUUAGAAUUGUGAACCCCAGCUCCGUGGAGCCUCUUCUCUGAGCUUUUUGGUGCUGAGAAGCGCACUGCUCCCGUUGUUUCUCUGGCUGUCUGGGUAGAAGCUGCUUUCCCGCUUCCUAGCUCUAGGUUGCCUCGGUGAUCUCCUUUUGCUUUUCCAGCUCUUCGACAUCUUUUUGACUCAUUCCUUAUACUAUUUAUCUAUACUAAAUUGUCUCUCUUUAGUGUAAAUUAAUACUGAAUUCUCUCUGUUGAAAUACUUUACCUGGUUUCUUUUUUUUAGGUAUACUUUUUGGUGAGGAAGAUUGGCCCUGACCUAACAUCUGUUGCCAAUCUUCCUCUUUUUUUUUCUCCCUAAAGCCCCAGCAUAUAGUUGUAUAUCCUAGUUUAAGUCAUUCUAGUUCUCUGUGGGAUGCCACCACAGUGUGGCUUGAUGAGCAGCGUAGAGGUCUGCACCCAAACCGGCGAACCCUGGGCCACCGAAGUGUAGCCACCCCUGAUGCAGGAAGGGUUAAUAAUCACUGGAAAAGGCUUGCCAACAAACUGUGACCCAGAGGUGAGAAGGCCGGUCCACCAAUGACAGGUAAGACCUCCAGGGCGGGGCAACCUAAGACAGGCGCAGUCGCCUGGGGGCACAGAUGGAGACACGCUAUUGAUAUCAGGAGCAGGAGGGGCCGUUGCCUAGGAGACCUUGCCUGCUCCGGGAUAAAAAUAUAUGAGCACAGCAAUAACAUUAUAAUAUCAAAACAGAGGCCGAGGGAGGGCUCCUUGAGAAAUCACUAAGAAUUCUUGGCAUUUGCUAAUUACUUCAUCCAGAACACCUGUGUAUGUUUAACAGAUGUAAGCUAUGUAUAUAUUGAAACGCUGGUUAUAAUAAACUCAGAGUGGCCAUCAGUCCUCUCCGCAUCUAUCCUGAUGUGUACAUUGGAUUGCGACACCGACACGAAGCAGAGCACAGAAAAAUCCUUGAAAGUCAGGAUGUUUGCAAGCCCACAAGAUACCUGUGUGUGAACUAGAAUGAAGGUGUACCCAUCUCUGGAUUAACACAGUUCUGCACCAUGAUGAACAGAGUAUGGGCUGGAUUUCAGACCCCCAUUCACCCCUCAGCUGGAGCCCUUGUACAGGGCACAACCAUACAGCGUGGCCCUGAUGAGGAUAGUAGCAAUGCCUAAUCAUUGAACUCACUGUUCCUAAUAAGUACAGUUUUCACAGAAGGUACUGGAUGACUAUGCAGAAAUGAAAAUAAGGAACUCAAAAAUAUUCUAGACCUGUCUUAGAUCAGACCAAGAUCACCAAAAUGACCCCCACAUGUGCCUGGACCAAGUGAAAUUUCUCUUAUUUAAGCUAAAAAGGCAUGGGAUAAAUGUCUAAGCUUAAAUGCAGUGCAAGAGUACCAGCAUUUUUAUUUAUUCAAACGUUUUUCUCAUAAUAUGUAAUCUUGCAACUACCUUUAGUGAUUUCCAAAACUACAUUAUUUUGGGGUGGUGUAUAAUUUAGGAGCAAUGAUAUGUUAAAAAUAAAUGAGAUUGAGACAACUUUUGAAUGAGGGCAUGAGGGAUUCUGCAGAGCUUCUCUCCAGUAAAACAGCCAUAACUGGUGAAUAUUAUUUCAAAAAACCCCGAACACUCACUGUUUAAAGUCUCUGGAAAAUGUGCAGGACAUACAUCAAAUGAAGAAACAUUUAUUCAAGAAAAUCUACUACAUUUUACUAAGAAUAGUGAGAAUGUCUGACAUUUGAGCCACAACCCGCUCCUCUGCCCCAACUGCCUUCCCCUCCCUGAAGCUCCAAGUGAGGGAAGAUCCACUUCGUGUAGGUGUCACCAAGAACACAUGGCUCCCGCUCCCUCUGAGCUCCCAGUCAAGGAAUACGGUACCUCACUGGGAGGGGCAGGCAUGCCAGCUUCUCUCACCUCCCAUCCACCUCAAGUCCCAUGUUGCAGAGGUUUGAUUCCAGGUAAGAGGAGCUGAAAACUCUGGGGCUGCUUUCCUCCACUCAGCUUCCACUCAUAAGUGGGCAUUUCUACCCCAGGUACAGCAGCCUGAGAGUACCAAAGCCCCGUCUGUCCUCCUCCCAACUUGCUGAUGGUGAAAAGGUUCUGCAUUUGUAUAGGCAAGCUGAAGAAAACAGGCUGCUGCUGCCCCAGCCCAGCACUGUGCUCAGUCACGAAGCAUCGCUCCAAGAGAAACAGGCCACUCUCUUGCCCCCAGCUCUGGAGCAGUGGCCCAGAGGUUUUGCCUAAGGGGAGAAGCAGAAAGUAAGAACAGAGAACACAAACGCUCUCCCCAAGUGAACUGACUUUAUUUGGACCAGAAUGUUGGGAAGUUUAAGCCUGAGGGUACUCUUGAAAAUAGUGGAGAUUGUGGUGGUAAGCAAUUAAAAGGAGGCUGGUAGCUCCAGGAAAGCAAUAAGCUACACCACAGACCAGCCAGAAGUUUACCUGAGAACUCAGGAAUGGGACAGCUAAGAAGAGCCCUCCUGGGUUGGGAACAAACCUCAAAGUCUGGCUGCAAAAAUUACUCAUGCAAAGAUUACCCAUUCAAAGUUAUUGGAUCAAGGUAGUAAAACAAUUUAUGCCCCCAAACACUGUUGAAAACAAUAGAGCAAUCAACCUGCAAUUAGCAGAGGCUAACAGCAUCUUGUGAUACUAAUCAAAACAGAUAGUUUAACACAAAGAUCAGGAAAAGAGAAAAAGAGAGCCCUCAUAAAACUGUCAUCCCAGGGUUGCUGUGUGCACACCCAUGAAAUAUACUUUACUAAAAUAGUUCAGCCAUCACAGUAAACAACUAUAAGCCUGGGGAGGAGCAUAUUUGUAUCUAAGGUUAUUACAGUUUAUUAUCUAAAAUGUCCAGUUUUCAACAACAAAAAAUUACAAGCUAUACAAAGAAACAGGAAGGUGUGACCCAACUCAACAGAAACUAUCUUUGAGAGGGCCUAGAUGCCAGAUUUAGCAAAGAUUUUAAAACAGCCAAUAAAAAUAUGUUCAAAGAAUUAAAGGAAAAGAAAUCAAGCUUAAGAAAGUAAAGGAACAUGUAAUGACAAUGUCUCACCAAAUGGAAUAUAUCAGUAACAAGAAGUUACAAAAACGAAACCAAACAAAUGGAAAUUACGGAGUUGAAAAUAAAAUAAAUAAAUGAAAAAUUUACUAGGAGAGCUCAACCAUAGAGUGAAGAUGACAGAAAAAAAGGAUCAGUACUUGAAGAUAAAUGAAUAGAAAUUAUGCAAUCUGAAGAUCAGAGAGAAAAAAGAAUGAAGAACAGUGAACAUAGCCUCAGAAAUGUGUGACACCGUUAAAGGCACCAAGAUAGGCAUAAUGAAAGUAUCAGGAAAAGGAGUAGAAAAAUACUCAAAAAAAUUAUUGAGGAAGCUCAGUGAAUUUUAAGUAGGACAAAUGCAAAAAGAUCUAUAAUCAGACACAUCAUAGUAAAAAUUUCAAAGGCAAAGAGAAAAAUCUUUAAACCUGCAAGAGAAAAACGACUCAUGUACUAGGGAACCACGCUAAGAAUAACAGAUGGUUUCUCAUCAGGAAGCAUGGAGGCCAAAAGGGAGUGGGAUGAUACAUUGAAAGUGCAGAAAGGGGGGAAAAUCCUGUUGACGAAGAAUUGUAUAUCCAGCAGAAUUAUCUUUCAAAAAGAAAGGUAAAGUAGAGAUGCUCCCAAGUAAACAAAAACUGAGAGAACUGUUGCUAGCAGACCCACCUUAUAAAAAAUAUUUCUAAAAGUUCUCCAAGCUGAAAGCAAGUUAUACCAGAACAUACUUUGAAUCCAAAUGAAAAAAACAAAGAUCCUGGGUAAACAUAAUUAUGUACUUAGAAAAAUUAGUAUAAAUGUAUAUUUAUUCUCCUUUCUUAACUAAUUUAAAAAUCAGUUGUAUAAAACAAUAUGUAUAUAAUUGUUUUGCUAGACCUAUAUAUGUAAGAUAUGUAUAUAGCAAAUGCAAUAUAUUUGUCAAAAACAACACAAAGGGUGAGUGGGAGCAAAGCUGUAUUAGAGGAAGGAAAUGAUACUAGAUGGUGACUCAUCCAUAGGAACAAAUGAAGAGAACCAGUAAGAAAGAUAAUAUAACAAAAUCUAAAAUUAUAUAUUUUUUUCUACUUUCUUCUCUCAGUUUCUUUUGGAAAUUUUAUACACCUAAAAUAUAUAAAGUAAUAGUAAUAAUAAUGUAUUGUUGAGUUUGUAACACAUAAAGUGAAAAGUCAUUGAAAGAAUUCAAAUGUUACAUUAGUUUAUAUGUACUCGAAAAAGCAAGCAUGAAAGGACAGAGAAACACACAAAAAAUGAGCACUAUAGAAAACAAAAAGUAAAAUGACAGAUGUAAAUUCAAUUAUAUCAAUAAUACCAUUAAAUAUGAAUGGAUUAAACAAUCCAAUCAUAAGGCAGAGAUUGUCAGACUAGAUUUUAGAAGAACAAGAUCCAAGUAUAUGCUAUCUACAGGAUACACACUUUAGACUUAGAUAUAAAUUGAAAGUAAAAGACUCAGGUUGAAAGCAAAAGAAAAAAACAAGAAAUAUCGUACAAAAAGAAACCAUAAAGAAGCUGGAGUGGCUAUACUGAUAUUGGACAAAACAGACAUUAAAACAAAAAAAAAUUUUAUUAAUGAGGACAUCUUAUGACAAAAGUAUCAAUCUAUAAGAAAAAAACAAUUGUAAACAUGUAUACACCUAACAAAAGAACCUCUACUGGGGCAGAAGCUGUCUUGGACCCAGAGACGAAAAUAACAGCGUGGCAUACCCACUUCUAUUAGGUGAG